rnacentral:rRNA from 1 species
UGGGGAAUUUUGGACAAUGGGCGAAAGCCUGAUCCAGCAAUGCCGCGUGUGUGAAGAAGGCCUUCGGGUUGUAAAGCACUUUUGUCCGGAAAGAAAUCCUUGGCUCUAAUACAGUCGGGGGAUGACGGUACCGGAAGAAUAAGCACCGGCUAACUACGUGCCAGCAGCCGCGGUAAUACGUAGGGUGCAAGCGUUAAUCGGAAUUACUGGGCGUAAAGCGUGCGCAGGCGGUUUGCUAAGACCGAUGUGAAAUCCCCGGGCUCAACCUGGGAACUGCAUUGGUGACUGGCAGGCUAGAGUAUGGCAGAGGGGGGUAGAAUUCCACGUGUAGCAGUGAAAUGCGUAGAGAUGUGGAGGAAUACCGAUGGCGAAGGCAGCCCCCUGGGCCAAUACUGACGCUCAUGCACGAAAAGCGUGGGGAGCAAAACAGGAUUAGAUACCCUGGUAGUCCACGCCCUAAAACGAUGUCAACUAGUUGUUGGGGGAUUCAUUUCCUUAGUAACGUAGCUAACGCGUGAAGUUGACCGCCUGGGGAGUACGGUCGCAAGAUUAAAAACUUAAAGGAAUUGACGGGGUCAUAGCUGUUUCCU